rnacentral:rRNA from 1 species
UACAGAGGUCUCAAGCGUUGUUCGGAUUCAUUGGGCGUAAAGGGCGCGUAGGCGGCGGGGUAAGUCUGGUGUGAAAUCUCGGAGCUCAACUCCGAAAUUGCACUGGAUACUGCUCUGCUUGAGGGUUGGAGAGGAGAUCGGAAUUCACGGUGUAGCAAGUGAAAUGCGUAGAUAUCGUGAGGAAGACCAGUGGCGAAGGCGGAUCUCUGGACAAAUCCUGACGCUGAGGCGCGAAGGCUAGGGGAGCAAACGGG